GACUAAAGAACAUCGGAAAGUGGACACGUAACAGACGAAAGGAAGUGAGAGACAAGACGAGAAAUAACUACAAAUUAAGGAGGGGGAAUAAGGGAGGAGCAGGGAGCCCAAGGAAGGGAGCUCCGCCACGACCAGCACCGGCGCAGUUACGGCUUGACCCUCGUACACAGCGCGUCUCUCGUGCGCUCGUCCGGCGAGGAUUUUUUUCUUUUCGUUCUUUCUUUCUCCGCGAUGUGCAGCUAACCACCUAGUGGUUCCUGAGAAAGAGGAAAAGGAAAAGAAUAAGGAGGAGAAGGAAGAUUAUACAUGCAGCGGAGCUCGGUAAAGCAUGUGGGAAUUGCAUGUGGACGUCUGAUAAAGCACAGCGAGGGGAAAUUGCCUCAAUGACUUUUCUUUUCCUUGGCGGGAGGAGAAGUGAGUGGAAGUGACCAAAAGAAAAGAGCACAUUAAGGGAGUUUGUGGGACAUGAGAAGUGACGCCCCCAAACCCAUCGUUAAUUGGCAAAACAGACCUCAGUCGAAGUGACCUGCAGUGACC